rnacentral:lncRNA from 1 species
CCGCGCUGGAGGCCAUGGCUGGGGAGGCGGCAGGGUCAGGCCACCGGCCCCGGUCCCCCCUGCCCCAUGGUCACCGCUGGCCUCUGCCCUCCUCCCCAGGGCCCAGCCACCUCCCCUGAACGGCAUGACCCCAGGGCUGGGGCGCCCGAGGACACCCCGAAUUGUGGGAUGGGCACAGGGCUGGUGCAAGGGACACGUGUGUGAGACUGUGGGGACAUGUCUCUACACACGUGCGCACAGUUGUGACUAUGUGGACACGUGCGUAGGAGCAGGCAGAUGUGUAGGUAGGUGGCUGUGACCAUGCUGACACAUGUGUGUGUGGGGCCACGUGCAUGUGUGCAUACCUGCAAGCGUGUUGACCAUGUGCCGGUGCACGGCCAUGCAGCUGCGUGCUUGUGGGCAUAUCUGGACAGACGUACCCACGUAUUUGUGAGUGUGCGAGCGCAUCCAGGCAAGCCCAGGUCUCCGCAUGUGCACGUGUGGGAGGCAGAGCACGUAUAUGGCCGGGCACACAUGUGCAUGCACAGACUUGGGGGCCCAGGGGUAGCUCUGCUGAAGCUGGGUCCCUCCCUCUGCCCCCUUCCAGUGGCUGAAACUCCCAAUCCCUAUGUUUUUUCCCCCAAGAGAACUGCAAAGCCAGGGCUGACCCUCCCCACGGGCACACACUUGCCCCGGCACCCCUGGAACAGGAGGACGAGGGGCACCCAGGCCUGGGUGCUGCUCAGCUUCCCCAACAGACCCAUCCGCCACGCGCGACGUGCUCGGGAAGAUCAGGUUAAUCAUUUUGGGUGGUUAACAUGGUGGGGGCAGGGGCAGCUACUGUUGGCCGGCCCCGAGAAGGGGACUCAGCCCUGGUCUACCAGGAACGCGCCAGUUAUCAGGGACGGUUUGAUACCCCAGACCCAACCAGCUGGCCAACGGACCAGGUGACCAACCAGCUGGCUGACCAACUGGCCAACUAGUUGACCAACCCCACCCAACUAGUCAACCAGCCGAAUCAAUCAACUGACCAACCAACAGACCAAAUGGCCAAUCAGCCAGCCAGCCAAUUGAUUGACUAACUGACUGACCAAUCAACCAACCUACUGACCGACUGACCGACCAACCAACCGCCCAACUGACUGAUCGAAUGACCAACCGGCCACCCAAUCAAUUAUCAAACUACCACCCAACCACCCAAUCCACCACCCCUCUGAGCCUCCCAACCUAUUGACCACCCACCCAAAGAGCCCUUCAAGCCCAGUUUGGGAACAUGACAUUUGCCCAGCCGUCCCCAGGACGGGGGUUCAUCGCUCCUCGUCACGCUCGCUCUCUCCUGCCAGCAAGCCCCAUCGGCCCCGGGGCUGACGGAGCGGCUCGAGUGCCCAGCGGUGAGUGCUGGCAGCCAGGACCUACCUGUGCUAGAUCCCAGCUCUAGCGGAGCAGGGUCUGUGGGUCCGUCCCGUCCUUCGAACCCCCUUGGCACGCAGAGGGAGCGGGCCGGACACCGAAGCCAGCCUCCUCCUCCUCCGCGGUGCCCUGACCCAAGUGGCAAAGUUUAAACUCCAACCACACAGAAAUAGCAUCAAGGAUUGCAAAAUCACCCGGGCCCUGAUUGGGGAUCAGCGCUGAGUGAUGGCCGGGCUGCCAGGAAGGACCUGCGCCGCUCCGUAAUUCAUUAGCUAAAUGUUUUUGUCCUCCUCCGCUAAGGGGGGGCAGGAGGGGCCAGGGCUGGUGGGGAAAAGCCCCGGCUGCCGCAGCUGCCAAUGAACUUUCACCCAUUUCGGGCCCAAUUUCCCUUUUUUUAGAUCAGCGUAUCAGCAUUAAUUGCGUUAUAUAGGUGUUGAGAACAACAUCCGGGGAAAAUGUUGACUUGGACUCUGCUACUUAUCUUGUGCUCAACAAAUGUUGACCCCUUCUGGUCCCGGGGACCAGGGUGAGAGCUGCUGGG